rnacentral:ncRNA from 2 species
AGACCCCGCGCGGGAGAGUCCGCGCCGGUAGGACACCGGUGCGGCGCCGAAGGAGCAACCACUCCCCGACAACCUCUCAGGCCAACCGGACCGCGCGGGCGAG